rnacentral:rRNA from 1 species
AUUGAACGCUGGCGGCAUGCCUUACACAUGCAAGUCGAACGGCAGCACGGGUGCUUGCACCUGGUGGCGAGUGGCGAACGGGUGAGUAAUACAUCGGAACGUACCUUAUCGUGGGGGAUAACGCAGCGAAAGCUGUGCUAAUACCGCAUACGCCCUGAGGGGGAAAGCGGGGGAUCGCAAGACCUCGCGCGAUUAGAGCGGCCGAUGCCUGAUUAGCUUGUUGGUGGGGUAAAAGCCCACCAAGGCGACGAUCAGUAGCUGGUCUGAGAGGACGAUCAGCCACACUAGGACUGAGACACGGCCCAGACUCCUACGGGAGGCGGCAGUGGGGAAUUUUGGACAAUGGGGGCAACCCUGAUCCAGCAAUGCCGCGUGAGUGAAGAAGGCCUUCGGGUUGUAAAGCUCUUUUGUCAGGGAAGAAACACCGGCUCUAACACAGUCCGGGAAUGACGGUACCUGAAGAAUAAGCACCGGCUAACUACGUGCCAGCCGCCGCCGUAA